AUCUUCACUUGGCAUCAUGAGCUCAUCUCCCACUAGAAUAGAACCUGCUGCUGACCCAUCCAGACCCUAUGGACAUUAGUUGGCUUACAUUGUUACCCAUCAUUCAUUUAUUGAUUUGUAAUGAUGCUAACAAAGGAUUUGUUAUCUUUGAGCCACAUCCUUUAAGGCAACAUAUUGAAGAAUCUUUUUCAGUGUAUAUUCAGAUUGGAUUUAUAUGUAGUAGCAUGGGUACGGACGGUCAGGGGCUUUUCUUGAAAACGUGAUCUGACUUGCAAAAAUGAUUUCCUAUAUAGGCUUUUAGCUUUAAUUAGGGCCUGGAGAUUUUCCUAGGCUGGUCAUUUGUUCAGGAAAAACUCUUAACCCAUUUCUGUGGAUCCUCUUUCACUGUGUAUAUAUACAAAUAAAGAGUUAUUUUAUUUAUUUAUUUUUCUCAAAAAGUAACUUCAAAAUGGAAGUCAUGCUGAUGAUCUAAACUAUGCUCCACACUCCGUCCUGUUGGUGGCAGUAUUGGAAUUAGAAUCAUAACAAGGUGGGACGAAAUCUUCAGAAGCAGGUACAGCAGAAAAAUAAAAUAGUCUUUGUCCUUUGCUAGCUAGAUCGUUGCUUUUGUACUAGCUAAUAUAUGCAUUUUUUAUGCAAUUGCGUGGAACUUGUUUAACGCCUCAAAAUCUAAAAUGACAUGGCGAACAUAAUGAGAUGGUACCCUCUUUAAGGCCUAAGACGAGCGCGGGUGAGGUUGCAGACGAGGAGCAUAUCCCACGUGAGUGAUUUGAAGAUGAACUGACGUCCACACUCCAGUCGGUUGUAGUAAUGCACUGUAAAGUUGGUUGCCAACCACCAUAUGAAGUCCAAAGAAGUAAAAAAAGAAGCUUGAGGAAGGAGGAGAGAUGACGAGAAAGGAAUUCAGUUUACCGUUUUAUCUGUGGAGUAGAGGACCUUGUGCAUUUCAGUGAACCUGAAGAGUCAUCCCAGCUCAGACACGCUGGAAGAUAACAUGCCAAAUGGAACCAGAGAGUUACAGUCUGGUGCUUCCUCUGCUAUGAGCUACAUUAUGGAUCCAUCUGCCAGAGACUGGAGCAAAGGCUCAUUGAGGGGUAGCAGUGCUCCCUUCUCCCCAGACACAGAUGGGGACGUUGAUGGAGACCCUGUGCAGCCCAGUGUGGACCUGGAACUCGCUCGUAAGAAGAAGGAGCUGGAGGUCAUACAGGAGAAGAUAGCUCGCAAGAAAGCUGUUCUUGCUACACGACAGCUUAAACACGGAGCUAAGGACAUGCCUAAAAAACAGACUGCAUCCACAACAGUGAAGGGCAUCGCUAAACAGACCAAGAUAAACAAUACAAUAUUCAAAACAUACAACCAGGUCACCGACAAGUCGUCACGCGUAUGCCUACCUCUUAAACGGAGGGUGCUGGACAUUCUACGUAAGUUCAGAAGAACACCGGUACGGCACCUACUUCGUAAGACGAAGAAACAAAACAAGAUGCGAGCAUUGGAGCUGAUGAUUAGCGCUCCCCUAGAAAAUGAAGAGGCCCAUCCUCUGAGACUGAGAGUGAAGGUUUUAAUGAACCAGCGACGCUCUCCCAACAAUGAGGUGGUCGCUAAUGAUAAACAACAUAAUCCAACCAUUCAGAGGCCAGUUCACUCACUCAGGACACAGGAGAAAGACAUAGCAGCCACAGGCUUCCAGCGCUUCCUCAAUGUCCUCAAUGAAGGUGUGGACCUCAACAAGCUCUCAAAGAUCGUCAACGACGAAAAUGAGCUACUCAUUGUGGGCGAGGAGCUACCACAAGUUUGGCCGACUCUGCUCGAGGGUCAUGUUGACUACAGCAGUAGGUCCAAGUCUUCUCCGUUUGAGGAGAAGAAGGUGAGGCUUGAGGAUGAGCAGCGGUACGAGCGGAUGCAGACCCUGCUGGAGAUCGUUGGGCUGGACUUGGGGGUUGAGGAGUUGGGUCGGCUGACAGACAGGACCAAUGAUAGGCUAUAUGGAAAGAUGGGAGACUUGAAAAGGGACAGAGCCAGAGAAGGGGAAAGUCCUGCGAGAGAGGGAUGCAGGCAAAGAUGCUCUAGUACCAGAGUCAGAGAAAGAGACAGAUCUGAGAGAAACCGAAAGGGAGACGGGCACAGACACUCCAGUACCAGAGAGAGCGACAAGGACAUACCGGUAGUCAGAGAAACAAACAGAUCAGAAAGGAACAGAGAUAAAGACGGGGACAGAGACCCAGAGAAGGACUGGGACGGAGGCCGAGAGAGAGACCGGGACAGAUCUAGGAGAGACGGGGGCAGAUACAGAUCUGAGAGAGAUGGGGACAGAGACCCAGAGAAAAGCAGAGACGGAGGCCGAGAGAAAGACCGGGACAAAAUGAGAGACCGGGACAGAUACAGAUCUGAGAGAGACAGAAAACGAGAGAUAGCCAAGGAUAUAGACAGGUGGCUGCAAAGGACCAGAGACGGAGACAAACGCUCUAGGACCAGAGACUGGGACAGAGAGAGAUCUGAGAGGGAUAGGUAUGGGGAUGAGUCCAGGGAACGCUCCAUUGAGCUCUACUCAUACUCCAUGGACCCUAUAUUCCCUGUUUCUCAUCCCCAUGCAUCUAUGAUGGCUACCUACUCCACCACCCAGUACUCUCAGUAUAUGGCAUACCACAGCAGCCCCUACACCAUGGCCUUCCCUCCAGGGUGCGGUUAUCCCGCUGGUACCAUGCCCCCUGGUAUUAUGCCCCCUGGUAUUAUGCCCCCUGGUAUUAUGCCCCCUGGUAUUAUGCCUCCUGGUACCAUGCUUCCUGGAAUCAUGCCAGCUGGUGCCAUGCUGCCUAGUAACAAGCCCCGCCAACCUAACCCCCCUGGGUAUCCACCCUACACCAACUUCCCCCCAUAUUACUCUAAUGGCACCACAGCCUUAAACCAGACAUACACAUACACCCAGCCUGCCAGCACUCGAGCAGUCUUAAGUCAGAGAUACACAUACAUCCAACCCACUAGAAACCGCAGGAAAAAGACACAGAAGCAUGCCAGAGGGAAAGUGUCCUGUCAGAUGAUGACAAAGAAGUCCCCCGCGGUUUUGACCACUCAGAUAGCGACAAAGAAGUACCCCCCUGAACCAGGGUCCAAGAUUAAAGCAAAGGGGAGAAACAAUAUAUUCUUCACAGGUAUAUUCAUGAAGAGUUAUCACAGUCAUCUAAGGAAGUUCCAGUAUUAUUUGAAACGGCUUGCGAAGAGGAGGAAUAAGGUUCACCAGCGCAAAAGAAAGCGAUUGCUUGCAGAAGCAGCAGGGAGAGUGGCCCCUCACUUCCCCUUUGAACCGGAGCCCAAGAAAGACGGGGAGAAACUACAUGCUGACACUUCUGAAGAAGUGGUUCCUCAGGAAGCUGCAAAGAAUGUGGAGGCACCAUCUGAAACAGGGCCUAAGAAAGAACCAGAAGGUGAGAAACUACAUGCUGACACUGCUGAAGAAGUGGUUCCUCAGGAAGCUGCAAAGAAUGUGGAGGCACCAUCUGAAACAGGGCCUAAGAAAGAACCAGAAGGUGAGAAACUACAUGCUGACACUGCUAAAGAAGUGGGCCCUCAGGAAGCUGCAAAGAAUGUGGAGGCACCAUCUGAAACAGGGCCUAAGAAAGAACCAGAAGGCGAGAAACAACAUGCUGAUGCUGCAGAGAAAGUGGCUCCUCAGGUGACUGCGAUGGACACUGUGGCCCCCUCUGAAAUGGGCCCCAAGAAAAAAAAGUUGUAUCCAGGUAUCUUCAUGAAGAUUCUAAUGAGACGUCUAAAGAGGCAACAGUGCAAGAUAAAAGGGAAGAAGAAGCAUUUUGCAAAGAGGAGGAAAAAGGCUUUCCAGUACAAGGGGAAGAGACCAUUGGUAGACACUAAGGAAAAAGUGCCUCUUCUAGAGGCUGCAAAGGACUCUGGGAACCCCUCUGAACCAUGGCCCAAGAAAAAGAAAAAAAAGAAAACACUAGAGGAAAAAGGAGGUAUAUACUACCCAGGGAUAUUCAUAAGGGUACACAGAACCUAUUUGACAAGGGGGAAACUGGCAAAAGCAGCUGCUGAAGGCACUGAGGCCAUUUCUGAACCAGCACCCAUGAUUGAAGGGGGGGGAGGAAUGACAGAAGGGGAGGAACUGCUUGCAGACACACUAGAGAAAGGGGUUCCUCAAGUGGCUACAAAUGACUCUGGGCUUCCCCCUGAACCAGGGCCCUACAAAGAACCAGAAAGAGAGGAAGAAACUAUGUUAGAAGAGGAGAAACUGCUUGCAGAUCAUGUGGCGAAAGUGUCUGUAAAGGGCCCUCAGGUCCUCUUGGAACCAAAGGCUGCGAAAGACAGAGAAGGAGAGGACGAUGCAAUUAUAGAUGGUGAGAAACUGCUAGCAGACCCUGUGGAGAAAGUGGCUAUAACAGGCCCUGGCUUGCUCUCUGAACCAGAGGCUGAGAAGGAGACAAGGGGAGAAACAACCAGUGGCAUGAGAAUUAAUGAAGGAAAAAUAAGGUUGGUGCUUUUUUAUUUGUUUUAUUUUUUUACUUUUGUAUUGCAUUGUAAUUGUUGGAAUUAA
ensembl:lncRNA